CCUACGGGGGGCAGCAGUGGGGAAUAUUGGGCAAUGGGCGCAAGCCUGACCCAGCAACGCCGCGUGAAGGAAGAAGGCUUUCGGGUUGUAAACUUCUUUUCUCAGGGACGAAGAAAGUGACGGUACGUGAGGAAUAAGCCACGGCUAACUACGUGCCAGCAGCCGCGGUAAUACGUAGGUGGCAAGCGUGAUCCGGAUGUACUGGGUGUAAAGGGAGAGUAGGCGGGGAAGCAAGGCAGAUGUUAAAACACCGGGCUCAACCUGUGGCCUGCAUUUGAAACUGUUUUUCUUGAGUACUGGAUCGGCAGACGGAUUUCCUAGUGUAGCGGUGACAUGCGUAGAUAUUAGGAGGACCACCAGUGGCGAAGGCGGUCUGCUGGACAGCAACUGACGCUGAGGCGC
rnacentral:rRNA from 1 species